AACGAAAGGCACAUAGAAAUGGAAUUAAAAGGCCAAAAAAAGUAAUGAAGAUGACAACAAAGGGGAGAUGUCAGAAACUAGUUAGAAAUACCAGAUAUGCCAAGAAGAACAACCGAAAGGCUACUCCUCUUUCUGCUUAAUUACUACUUGUUCAUUUUUUCUUAAAUAAAGAUCAUUUUUGUUA